UUUUUUUUUUUCUUUUUUUUUUCUCUUCAAUCCGCACAAUAAUGUUAAAAAAUGAUUUUUUUUUUCUUUUAUCAUCAUUAUCAUCAUCAAAGGCAAAGAGCAGUACACUGGAGAUCAUCCAUAACAAAGUCAACCUGAUCCAGCGGUGGAAAAUUCAGAUCGAAAGGUAAGGGCUUUCUGCCGUACAAGGACGAGGAUGAUGCAAUUUCUCUAUCGUCAACCACCGAUGAAGAUGAAUCACAAUCGCUGUGACAAUCCUCAGGUACCAUCGGUGGUGUCCGGUGAUGGUUUUUCCUGGGCGCUGUCGCUGACAACAGAAGCCCAGACUUUUUUGUUGCCGUAGUUGUUUGCUGAGGAGGCGGCCUGGGACCGCUGAAUGACUCCACCGUACUGCUCUGACUACUAGACGUGGGUCUCUGUGGAUUUACGGGAUGCUCGGGAAACCCAUUAGCUGUAUAUAAUCUGUGAUCCAUGAAAGCAUCCUGUGGAUUUUGGUAGGUGAAAGGAGAUAAAU
rnacentral:misc_RNA from 1 species